AAGUGGAGCUUGCUCCACGGAUUAGUGGCGAACGGGUGAGGAACACGUGAGAAACCUGCCUCGGAUUUUGGGAUAACAAAUGGAAACGUUUGCUAAUACCAAAUAACGUCGGAGAGUCACAUGGCUUUCUGACGAAAGGAAUUCCGAUUCGAGAGGGUCUCGCGGCCUAUCAGCUAGUUGGCGGGGUAAUGGCCCACCAAGGCAACGACGGGUAGCUGGUCUGAGAGGAUGGUCAGCCACACUGGGACUGAGACACGGCCCAGACUCCUACGGGAGGCAGCAGUGGGGAAUCUUGCGCAAUGGGCGAAAGCCUGACGCAGCAACGCCGCGUGCGGGAAGAAGGCUUUCGGGCUGUAAACCGCUUUCAGCAGGAACGAAAAUGACGGUACCUGCAGAAGAAGGAGCGGCCAACUAUGUGCCAGCAGCCGCGGUGAUACAUAGGCUUCAAGCGUUGUCCGGAUUUAUUGGGCGUAAAGAGUUCGUAGGCGGUCAAGUAAGUCGGGUGUGAAAAUUCUGGGCUUAACCCAGAGACGCCACCCGAUACUGCUUAACUUGAGUUCGAUAGGGGAGUGGGGAAUUCCUAGUGUAGCGGUGAAAUGCGCAGAUAUUAGGAGGAACACCGGUGGCGAAGGCGCCACUCUGGAUCGAUACUGACGCUGAGGAACGAAAGCAUGGGUAGCAAACAGGAUUAGAUACCCUGGUAGUCCAUGCCGUAAACGGUGGGCACUAGGUGUGGGAUUCUAUUAACGAAUUCCGCGCCGUCGCUAACGCAUUAAGUGCCCCGCCUGGGGAGUACGGUCGCAAGACUAAAACUCAAGGAAUUGACGGGGGCCCGCACAAGCAGCGGAGCGUGUUGCUUAAUUCGAUGCUACGCGAAAACCUUACCUAGGUUUGACAUGUUUGGAAAGCAGCAGAGAUGUGUGUCCGCAAGGCCAAACACAGUGGUGCAUGGCUGUCGUCAGCUCG
rnacentral:rRNA from 1 species